rnacentral:rRNA from 1 species
GGCUCAGGACGAACGCUGGCGGCGUGCCUAACCACAUGCAAGUCGAGCGAUGAAAUCCUUCGGGAUGGAUUAGCGGCGGACGGGUGAGUAACACGUGGGUAACCUGCCUUGUAGAGGGGGAUAGCCUUCCGAAAGGAAGAUUAAUACCGCAUAACAUCUUUUUAUCGCAUGGUAGAAAGAUCAAAGGAGCAAUCCGCUACAAGAUGGACCCGCGGCGCAUUAGCUAGUUGGUGAGGUAACGGCUCACCAAGGCGACGAUGCGUAGCCGACCUGAGAGGGUGAUCGGCCACAUUGGAACUGAGACACGGUCCAGACUCCUACGGGAGGCAGCAGUGGGGAAUAUUGCGCAAUGGGGGGAAACCCUGACGCAGCAACGCCGCGUGAAUGAAGAAGGCCUUAGGGUUGUAAAGUUCUGUUUACGGGGACGAUAAUGACGGUACCCGUGGAGGAAGCCACGGCUAACUACGUGCCAGCCGCGGC